ensembl:snRNA U6 U6 spliceosomal RNA
GUUCUUGCUUCGGCGGCACAUAUUCUAAAAUUGGAACAAUACAGAGAAGAUUAGCAUGCCCCCUGCACAAGGAUGACAUACAAAUUCAUGAAGUGUUCUAUAUUUUU